CUCUGAUUGUCAUCUGGAAAGGCUUGGGCACAGUAACUUUGGGAGACCAUGCUUUCUGUUUCUUCUUUUUGAUUCUGAAGGCUGGUGAGCUUGAUGUUUGCAAAGCAUUUGAGAAUCUUCAGACAAAAGGUCCCACCAAACUUACCUACAACUGACACUGGAAGCAGCAUUUUCCUUGUUCAAGGGUUGUACCCCUUUUAAAUACAGUUUACUCCGAUACAUAUUUUCUAAUUUUGCCAUGGUCUCCAAGUGGGCAUUCUUCAACUCUUCGAGCCUCAAGUAAUAUUCCUGAUUUGAAUUGCACAUUUUGGAAAAGUCUAUCCACUUGUCAGAGUCCCCAUUUAGAGAGAGGGUCUGCUCUCUGUUGCUAUUUGAAUCCAAAUCAAAGCCAUCCUAGAAAAGACGUUUGUAAAAUUUUCUGUUAGAAGGGAACAAGGUUCUUAAUGUUACUUUAUCCUAAUUAAGUCUAAUGAAUGAUACAGUAAUAGCAAACAGAGAUUCCUGUAGACAAAUGUUAAUGCAGAACUACAUGGAACAAUCUCUGGGUUUCUUCUACGUGUCUCUUUGUUCUCUUUUAUGUGAUUUCCCCCCCAGUUUUUCUCAUUUCAAUUAAUAAACUACACGAUUAUUGCAUCAUUUAUAUCCUAAGGGUGCAAAUUAAAGCAUGUAAAAUUCCCAA